rnacentral:rRNA from 1 species
CCUACGGGAGGCAGCAGUGAGGAAUAUUGGUCAAUGGACGCGAGCCUGAACCAGCCAAGUCGCGUGAAGGAUGACUGCCCUAUGGGUUGUAAACUUCUUUUGUCAAGGAAUAAAACGAGGCACGUGUGCCUUUAUGCAUGGACUUUAUGAAUAAGGAACGGCUCACUUCGUUCCAGACGCCGCGGUAAUACGGAGGAUUCGAGCGUUAUCCGGAUUUAUUGGGUUUAAAGGGAGUGUAGGUGGGUUGGUAAGUCAGUUGUGAAAGUUUGCGGCUCAACCGUAAAAUUGCAAUUGAUACUGGCAGUCUUGAGUACAGUAGAGGUAGGCGGAAUUCGUGGUGUAGCGGUGAAAUGCUUAGAUAUCACGAAGAACCCCGAUUGCGAAGGCAGCUUACUAGACUGUAACUGACGUUGAUGCUCGAAAGUGUGGGUAUCAAACAGGAUUAGAUACCCUAGUAGUC